UACGUAGGGGCGAGCGUUGUCCGGAUUUACUGGGCGUAAAGGGUGAGUAGGCGGUUAGUAUAUGUCAGGUGUAAAAGCUAUGGCUUAACCAUAGUAAGCACUUGAAACUGUAUGACUUGAGUGCAGGAGAGGUAAGCGGAAUUCCUAGUGUAGCGGUGAAAUGCGUAGAUAUUAGGAGGAACACCGGUGGCGAAGGCGGCUUACUGGACUGUAACUGACGCUGAGGCGCGAAAGCGUGGGGAGCAAACAGGAUUAGAUACCCUGGUAGUCCCU
rnacentral:rRNA from 1 species